rnacentral:rRNA from 1 species
UACAGAGGUCUCAAGCGUGUUCGGAUUCAUUGGGCGUAAAGGGUGCGUAGGUGGUGGGGUAAGUCGGAUGUGAAAUCCCGGGGCUCAACCCCGGAACUGCAUUCGAUACUGCCUUGCUCGAGUACUGGAGAGGAGACUGGAAUUUACGGUGUAGCAGUGAAAUGCGUAGAUAUCGUAAGGAAGACCAGUGGCGAAGGCGAGUCUCUGGACAGUUACUGACACUGAGGCACGAAGGCCAGGGGAGCAAACGGG